rnacentral:rRNA from 1 species
AUUGAACGCUGGCGGCAUGCUUUACACAUGCAAGUCGAACGGUAACAUGCCUUCGUUUGCUGUCGAGCGGCGGACGGGUGCGUAAUGCAUCCGAACGUACCCCGUGGUUGUGGAUCACGCAGCGCAAGCUGUGCUAAUACCGCAUGUGAUCUGAUGUUUAAAGCGGGGUACCGCGCUGCAAUGUUUCGCCUCUCCUCUUUGUAAUGGCCGAUGUCGGAUUAGCUAGUUGGUGAGGUAAAGGCCUACCAAGGCGACGAUGCGUAGCUGGUCUGAGAGGACGAUCGGCCACACUGGGACUGAGACACGGUCCAGACUCCUACGGGAGGCAGCAGUAGGGAAUCUUCGGCAAUGGGCGCAAGCCUGAUGGAGCAAUGCCGCGUGAGGGAAGAAGGCCUUCGGGUUGUAAAACGCUGUUAGCAGGGAAGAAAAAAUGUGUAAGAAAACAGGCAGGUAAUGACGGUACCUGAAGAGAAAGCAACGGCUAACUACGUG